ensembl:snRNA U6 spliceosomal RNA
GUGCUCACUUCGGCAGCACAUAUACUAAAACUGGAACAAUACAGAGAAGAAUAGCAUGGCCACUGCGCAAGGAUGACACGAAAAUUCCUGAAAUUCCAUAUUUUU